UACAUGGGGUGCAAACGUUGCUCGGAAUUAUUGGGCGUAAAGCGCACGUAGGCGGAUAUUUAAGUCAGGGGUGAAAUCCCAGAGCUCAACUCUGGAACUGCCUUUGAUACUGGGUAUCUCGAGUAUGGAAGAGGUGAGUGGAAUUCCGAGUGUAGAGGUGAAAUUCGUAGAUAUUCGGAGGAACACCAGUGGCGAAGGCGGCUCACUGGUCCAUUACUGACGCUGAGGUGCGAAAGCGUGGGGAGCAAACAGG
rnacentral:rRNA from 1 species